rnacentral:rRNA from 1 species
UAGGGAAUAUUGCUCAAUGGGGGAAACCCUGAAGCAGCAACGCCGCGUGGAGGAUGACACUUUUCGGAGCGUAAACUCCUUUUCUUGGGGAAGAAAUUUGACGGUACCCAAGGAAUAAGCACCGGCUAACUCCGUGCCAGCAGCCGCGGUAAUACGGAGGGUGCAAGCGUUACUCGGAAUCACUGGGCGUAAAGGACGCGUAGGCGGAUUAUCAAGUCUCUUGUGAAAUCCAAUGGCUUAACCAUUGAACUGCUUGAGAAACUGAUAAUCUAGAGUGAGGGAGAGGCAGAUGGAAUUGGUGGUGUAGGGGUAAAAUCCGUAGAGAUCACCAGGAAUACCCAUUGCGAAGGCGAUCUGCUGGAACUCAACUGACGCUAAUGCGUGAAAGCGUGGGGAGCAAACAGG